rnacentral:rRNA from 1 species
AGGACGAACGCUGGCGGCGUGCUUAACACAUGCAAGUCGAGCGGAAAGGCCCUUCGGGGUACUCGAGCGGCGAACGGGUGAGUAACACGUGAGUAAUCUGCCCCUAGCUCUGGGAUAGCUCCGGGAAACCGGGAUUAAUACUGGAUACGACCACCUUAGACAUCUUUUGUGGUGGAAAGAAUUUCGGCUAGGGAUGAGCUCGCGGCCUAUCAGCUUGUUGGUGGGGUAACGGCCUACCAAGGCGACGACGGGUAGCCGGCCUGAGAGGGCGACCGGCCACACUGGGACUGAGACACGGCCCAGACUCCUACGGGAGGCAGCAGUGGGGAAUAUUGCGCAAUGGGCGAAAGCCUGACGCAGCGACGCCGCGUGGGGAUGAAGGCCUUCGGGUUGUAAACCCCUUCAGCAGGGACGAAGCGAAAGUGACGGUACCUGCAGAAGAAGCGCCGGCUAACUACGCGCCAGCAGCCGC